UACGGGGGGGGCAAGCGUUGUUCGGAAUUACUGGGCGUAAAGGGCUCGUAGGCGGCCAACUAAGUCAGACGUGAAAUCCCUCGGCUCAACCGGGGAACUGCGUCUGAUACUGGAUGGCUCGAAUCCGGGAGAGGGAUGCGGAAUUCCAGGUGUAGCGGUGAAAUGCGUAGAUAUCUGGAGGAACACCGGUGGCGAAGGCGGCAUCCUGGACCGGCAUUGACGCUGAGGAGCGAAAGCCAGGGGAGCAAACGGG
rnacentral:rRNA from 1 species